GCCUGGUGGGGGGCUAACAGCUGCCUCACCCAUCAGGUCACUGCAGUGGCUUCCUUGCUUGGUGCUGAAGUCCAGGGAGCCAAGGCACCUGUUUUCUUUGGGCCAGGGGAUCCUCCUGCCAGACCUGGUAAAUGAGCAGCAGCCCCAUCUCACAGGAGGGCUUCCCCUUCUCUCUGCUGGAGCCAGCCUCCCUGGACUGAGUGGUAGCUUUGCAGAGGGACCCCUGCUAGUGCAAUUACUGAACAGAGGUAUUUGACACAAACCAGCCCAGUCCCAAAUCUGAGAGUGGCUGCAGAACUGGCUUGUGCUGGGAACCAGGCAGGGAUCCAGGCUUCUCUGUGGCAGACUGAACUACUGUGCUCCAGAGCGGGGCCAGGCCUGGGAGAACUGAUAUUUGACACCAGCCGUCAAGGAGGUCAGGGCAGGACCUUUGCAACACCUGGAUUGUGUCCACCAAAGCAGACAGCCCUCCUGCCCCACUAUGCCCUUCCCCUGCCUCCCCUCCCUCCUAGCGAGAGUGUGGGAAUAAAGCCAGACUGCGAGGGGAAAGGAAGAGCUGCAAACUAAAGUGACUUUCCCUCUCUGGUCCCUGGGUGCGGCUGAGCCAACUUGGAAAGGGGAAGGUCUGCAGAAAGGAUCAGCUUCCCGCACUGCUGAGGAAUCAACUCCAGCAAUAUCGGGCAGCUCUUUGCCACAAUAAGGGGUGGGGAGAUGUUGAGAGACUAAAUUUUUGUGCGCACUACAAAGGAAAUUCUCGGUAGAAAAUGAACCCGCUCAAAGAAUCUGUCUCUGUGACACACACUUUCCAUCCACCCACCCGAAGCAGAGAUGGUACAGAAUGGAUCACCUGUCAAAUGGAAACCUGUUGAAAAGGCCAGACCUGCAAAGCAAGCACUGAGAGGAAGGACGGCCUUCCUGUGUGAGUCCUGGCACAGCACUUCAUCGCUUUGUGCCUCAGUUUCCUGCCUGUAGGAUCUCCUGGCUUUUGUCUAUUUAGAUUGGUGUAGUGCUGUCAAA